GACGAACGCUGGCGGCGUGCUUAACACAUGCAAGUCGAACGGAAAGGCCCUGCUUUUGUGGUGUGCUCGAGUGGCGAUCGUGUGAGUAACACGUGCGUAACCUGCCCUUGACUUUGGUAUAACUUCUGGAAACUGGUGCUAAUACCGGAUAGGAUCUCCUGCUGCAUGGUGUGGGUUGGAAAUUUUCGUCGGUUGGGUAUGGACUCGCGGCUUAUCAGCUUUUUUGUGGGGUAGUGGCUUACCAAGGCUUUGACGGGUAGCAGGCCUGUGAGGGUGACCGGCAACAAUGGGACUGAGAUACGGCCCAGACUACUACGGGAGGCAGCAGUGGGGAAUAUUGCAAAAUGGGCGGAAGCCUGAUGCAGCAACGCAGCGUGCGGGAUGACGGCCUUCGGGUUGUAAACCGAUUUCGAAUGUGACGAAGCGAGAGUGACGGUAAUGGGUAAAGAAGCACCGGCUAACUACGUG
rnacentral:rRNA from 1 species